rnacentral:snoRNA from 1 species
CUGCAUCUAAUGGGCAGACAGAACAGCUACUGUCUACUGCUAAGAUUUCCAUUAUAGAUGCAAAGAAAAAGGUGCAUGCUUAUUUUCUGUCUGUCUGAUUGAGGCAGCCAAGAUUCAAUAGGGGGACAUAGAA